UUGACGGAAAAAUGACGUCACACUACAUAGAGUAUGAUUCCAAUCAGUAUUUUCGUAAUAAUUAAUAAUUUGUCAACCUCUUUAGUUAACUGAAUACUUGACAAUCAGUACAGAAACGUCUAACUGACUUUUAUCUUAUUGUGACUCAACUAAAUAAUAGAUUGUUAGUUUAUUAAAUAGUGCAUAUUUUUGAGUUUUAACA